UUUGCUGAAAAGGAAAAUUGUAGACUAUCUUCCACCAAAAGAAAACACUGAGGGGUACCUUCAUGCCAGUAAAGGGCUCUCUGUUAAAUUAAUGGAUCUACUCUUCCCCUGGCUCAUUUCUUAUUACCUCCCAUAAGAUAAGAUAAGAUUUCGUUCGGAUUUUUAACCCCGGAGGGUUAGCCACCCAGGAUAACCCAAGAAAGUCAGUGCGUCAUCGAGGACUGUCUAACUUAUUUCCAUUGGGGUCCUUAAUCUUGUCCCCCAGGAUGCGACCCACACCAGUCGACUAACACCCAGGUACCUAUUUGCUGCUAGGUGAACAGGACAACAGGUGUAAGGAAACGUGUCGAAAUGUUUCCACCCGCCGGGAAUCGAACCCGGGCCCUCCGUGUGUGAAGCGGGAGCUUUAGCCACCAGGCCACCGGGCCACUUUGACUCCUAUCACUGUAGUGCUUUUCCAAGAAUAUAAAGAUAAUUAAAACAAGAAAGCUUCCUCCCUUCAGUGAGAAUUAGCUCUGCUUCCCUUGUACAAUACUAAUGUUACCUAGUUAGUAUUAAAGAAUAUUUUUGAUACACAUUUGAUACCAAAGAUAAUGGAAACUAUUGAUAGUGUGGAUCAGUAGUGUGACAGUUAUCAGCUACUCUUCCUCCCUUAUCUGCAGUUGUGGAGGAUGGUUUCUCUCCCUGCCCUUCUUGGAUAGUGCAUGAGAGUGUCUUUGUAGGUAGUGGAUGGGGACUAAUAAGUGCUGAGCCCCAGUAAUGACCUUGGCUAGUUCCUUGAGUAUGACUUGGUUCUUGCUUCAAAGAUAAAGUUCUUUACUGAUGGGUCAGAGAGUGAGGGUAUAGUUGCCUUUGAGGCAAUCACCAGAAAGGACUCAUAUUAUGCAUAUUUACCAAGAGAGUCCUCUCUGUUUCUUGCAAUGCUAGAUCUGUAUGAUUCUUGCUUCUCUUGUCCUGAUUGCUGGUUUAGGUGGGUCCUGGUAUACUAUUUACUUAAAUUACCAGCGUACUCUGUUGACCCUGGUCCAGUAUGGUUCUGUCCACCCUGUGGCACAGAAAGUCCAUGUGAUUAGCCCAUAUCCAUGCCCAUCACAGGAAGGUGGAAUUCUGUUGGUGCCUGGGCCAUUAGGAGUUUAGAAAUUUAACAGAUGGAUGCUGAAGCAAAGGCUGUUUUUUCAAACUUCCCAUAAAUUUUUGCCUUGGGAAGUAGCAGGUGAUCUUUAGGAAAAAGCAACAAGUUAUACAGGGAUUGGCAAGACAUGGACAUUUGGACCCCCUCCAACAAGAAUUCUUACCUUGGGAUGGUCCUCUGUAGAUUGUGGAUUGGGCACACACACACACAACCCAAAGCCACCUGUUUGCAGGUGUCUUGUGGUGGGCAGUUGCCUGUGGUGUGCAUUUGAAAUAUUUUUCCACAGCCUAAGCUUUUUUGUUUAAGUCAGCAUUUUUAUAAUUUCCAGGGUGCAUGUAUGUAUUAACCCUUUCACUGUUGACACCCCUUCCAUAUUGAAAGCUUCCUUCUGUGUUGGCAUUUUUCAAGAAACUAAAAACAAUGAUUUUAUAUUCUAAAAUGGUAGAGAAUCUUUUUCUAGAAGUAAUGCAAACAAAAAUGCAAAAUUUGCUGUAAUACUUACAGAAUUAUGCAGGUCAGUGAGCACUUUAUGCAACAGCAAUUUCAGUCAGUUUGAACAAUCCCAAUACUCAAACUGACUCAGUUCUCAGCUGUUCAUUGAUCACAAGAAACUACCCAUUCAGCUUCAGGGUUAAGUGCCCAGAAUUUGGCAAUUUGGCCAGUUUUACAUUGUUUUUAAAUUAAAAUUUGUUGAAAAUAGAGUCCAAAACAAACACUGUACACAUUCUUGCCACAAAGGCAUCCUUCCUGCUGUUCAUUAAUUACAUCCCAGGCCUCUUCUAUAUAACACUUGCUGUUCAUUUUGAAUUCAUUGUUUUUCCUUAUUCCUUGGCUAAUAAACCAUAAUCAAAAAAUGCUGGGAGAUGGUUUAAGACAUCUCAGUAAUUGAAGCAGACCUAGUAAAAAACCAUAAAACAUCCUGGGGUCUCCUACCUUUUCCUUGGAAAAGUCUGAAAAUUGACCACUUUUGCCACCUUGAGGUCUAUUUCAGGCCACUUCCAGUCUUAAGCUGACAUAAGAUCCAUUUUAUUAAUACAUGGUCUGUCUAUUGACACAAAGGAGCAGAUAACAAAAUCAUGAAAACCACCCUAAAUUUGCUAUUUUAACCCAACAAGGUCAGGGGUUAGCUGUUCACACCAUGCAUUUGUGGGUCAGGAUUUCUUUUAUGCUCUGCACACCCACCACACAGACCCUUUCUCUCACGUCUAGGCCAAAAUUUGCCACUCAGCAAAUUUAAAGGCACUAUAAAUUGUGUGUAGAUCUAUGUGAGCAACACUGAUCCACUGAUGUAUAUCAAUGUGACCAAUAGUGAAAUAAUUAAAUUGCUCUUCCAAUCUCAAAAUUUCCAUCCACCAGCUAGCUUGAUUUGGAUUUUGAAUUGUUUUCAAUUAUUCAAUGUACAGUAUUUGUUGCUCCUAUUCCUGGUUUAUAAUUUUAUAUAUUUUCAAGCAUCUAAACAUCUAAUGCUAUAAAGCACAGUAUUUUAUUAGUAGGCAAUGUAUCAAGGCUUUUAAUUUUUUAAAGUGAUUGUUUAAAAAAAGAUAAAUUUGUCCUGAUUCAUAAAGCAUUCAUAAUAUAAUUUGCAAUGAAUACAUGAAAUUUGAGUUUGGUGCACUCUCAAAACCCUUACAAGAGUCUGGUGUGUUACAUGUAUGUACUUAAGACAGUCUCUUCUGUUGUACUGUAUUUUAACAUGAGAAGUUUGCAGUAGUUAGUAAUUGGUAUUUAUUGAACUAGUUCACCACAUUAACAAAGUUUUUAAUUUUAUUUUGAAAAAAUAGCUCAGUUAAUCUAGUGAGAGUUUACUGAUGUACAUCCAAAAAUAAUCAUUAAAAUUAUAGCUAAUUCUGACAGUGUGUGUUGGUUUAUUCUAGAUUAUAAAUUUUUCCCAGUUUUUUCAGUGUAUAGGCGUCUUUCACUUUAUACAAUAGAUGUGUCCCAGGUUCAUGGCAGUGUAGUAAGGUUACUCAAGCCAUCAACACUCAAUCUCAUACCAAGAAUCUUAAUACAUUUUGUGAACUACACUGAUUGUAUACAGCAAAUAAUUAUGUAUUAAACACACACAGUUAUCAAUAGAAACAGGACAUGGCAUAAUAGCAAAUUUGAAUAAGGCAAACCUGCAAAAAAGAAACAAUAGAUUUGCCCAUAAAAGGUAUUUAGUUUAUUAUAAACACUGUAAAACCUCAACAGGUAAAAUUGUACAACCUAAAAAUACAAUCAUACCUUAUAAAAUAUAUACAAUAAUUCAUAUAUAAAUUAUUUUUAUUUACUAGAUACUGAAACAUGAGUGCUGAUGUGGUGCUUGAGGUAGUCCUUGCGUGAAGAGCGGUAGGGACAGUGUGGACAUGAGUAGGGCCUCUCUCCAGUAUGUGUACGGAUGUGCCGCACAAGAAGAUAAUGGAAGUUGAACCAGGUCUCUGUUAUACCAAUAAUAUCUAUAUUACCUACACUUGCAAGUAAUCUUAGCUCAUCUAUCUGGCAGGCAGCCAGUCAGCCAAGCAACCAGCCAGCCAGGCAGCUGAAAAAUUUGUGCAUGAAUUUAAGGGGUACGUAGACUGAAAAAUUCAAACCCCAACAAGUGUUUAGCUGUGAUGAAACAGGCCUGUUUUGGAAGAAAAUGCCAAAGAGGACCUAACUCUUUUGUUCUGUGCUGGCAUCUUCUAGAUGCCAGCAAGUCUCUUCAAUAAAGGUGCCUCAAGUUGAAAUCCCCCAGAAGCAAGAUGUUGGGGGCAGGAGCUGGAGAUUUUCCAGACAGUGGUCAAUUUUUGACAGCUGUUCCUGGAAUUGCUGGGACGUUGCAUCCGGAGGCUUGUAGACUACCACAAUGGUAAUGGGUUUGUGUCAUCCAUCUUUGGUAUUGUUUUAAUGUCACCUUUGCACCAUUUAUAACAUUUUUAGUAUACAUAUAUUUAAAUGUUUAUACAGUAGUGAAUUGUAUAUUGUAAUAAACAGAACAGAGGAAAUCAGCUCUAAUACACAUUAUUUAGGUAUGUAAGUCUGAGUCACCGAUAAACGAGCACAUUGCUAAGUGAGGAGAGGCUGUAUACAAUACACUACUGUAUAAACAUUUAAAAAUAUACUAAAAAUGUUAUAAAUGGCACAGAGGUGACAUUAAAACAAUAUCAGAGAUGGUUGACACAAGCCCACUAACAUUAUAGUAUGCUCCUCACUUAGCGACGAAUUCAUUGACCAAUGUGGUCUUAGGAACAGAACUCUGUCAUUAAGUGAGGAGAGACUGUACUCUGGUACAUUCCCAUUUUUUCUCUUCGUAGAUAAGGUUCCUUAUUGCCACAGAUGUCUCAGUGCAUCAACUCCCUUUUUUUCCCCUCAUUAAUUAUAUGGUUCAACUCAUCUUUCAUUAACCCUUAUGCCAAUACAACCAUUCCCAAAUAUCUAAACACAGUUACUUCCUCUAUACUUCUUCCCUCUAAUCCAUCAUUACCUAAAAUUUUCCUUACUCUCAUUACCUUGCUCUUUCCUAUGUUCACUCAUAAUUUCCUUCUUUUAUAUAUCCUCCCAAAUUUAGAAAGCCUGUUUAUUGAACAUUACUGUAUCCUUAGAUUUAAGUACAGUGGACCCCCGACUUACGAUCAGCUCCCAACUCGAACAAUUAUGUAAGUGUAUUUUUUAAGUGCUUUUUUAAGUGUAUUUUUGGGGGUCUGAAACGGACUAAUCUAAUUUACAGUAUUCCUUAUGGGAGCAAAUUCGUUCGGUAAUGGCACCUGAACAGCCUUCUGGAACAAAUUAAUAUCGUAAGUUGGGGGUCCACUGUAUUUUGGUCUGCUGCUUGUCUUCUGUUUACCAUUGCUGUAUCAUUUCAUGUAAUGGAACAACUUUUGUCUUUCACAAAAGUAAAUCUUCAUCGUGUAGAAAAGUUACUUUGUUGUGUCUCAUAAAUCAUUUUGGUCAUCUAGAAUUUACAUGAAAUAGUCUUAUUCAGGUCUCGACUGUUCCACUCAUCACACAGAACUCAAAAACUCAUCAGUCUUUAUUGUCAGCUCAUUUACAAAACCUAUCAUGUCUUUUAUAUAAAAGCUACUAGGAAAUGACAAGACAAAAAUAUUUACAGUAUAUUAUUCUGAUUUGAUGCUAACCCUGUCACUGUUAGUUAAAUAGAUCUCCAUAAGUAGAAUCAGUGUUGCUUAUGUUGGUCUAUGCAUAAUUCAUAGCAGCAGCUGAGUUUUGGCUUAGGCAUGAGAGAAUGCAUCUGUGCAGUGGGUGUCUUCCCCCUAACAGUGCAUGAUAGGAAUACCUAACCUCUGACCUUGUGUUUGGGUUAAAAUAGCAACCUCAGGGCAUUUUCUAUAGUAGUUUUCAUGGUUUUAUGGGCUAUUUUGUGGUACCAGUAGGUAAACCAGACAUACUAGUGAAACGGAAAAGACUUUGGUCAGUUUCGUACCAGAAAUGGUUGAUUUUGGUUCAUUUGCUUGGAGAAGGGUAUGUGCCUCCCUUCCCCUUUAGUAUGUUUUAUGGGUUUUUGCUAGGUCUGCUGCAAUGAUUUCGAUGUUCUAUACUAUGACUAAGCAUUCUUGGUUAUUUUUUGAUGAUGAAUUGAAAAUGGAGGAAUAGUAUUAUAUAUGAAAGGCCUGGGGACAUGAUUAACAGAGUUGCUCUAGUGGCUGAUAUGCCUACAGUGUUUAGUUUAGACUCUUGUUUUUAAACUGGAAUUUGUCCAAAAAUAGUGUGCCUUAUAUGGUAGUUUUGAUGAUUGAAUGGGCAGUUUCUUAUCUCAGUAGUUCAGAAGACAUGCUAGCAAACCAACCAGGAAUGGGGUCGGGUUGAGCACUAGCAUUGUUUCAAAAUAUGCCUCAAAUUGAGCAAACUUGCUGUUGCAUAAAGCACUCCUGGCCUUAACUUUGCGUCUGUGUAAUUCCGUAAGUAUUAUAUCAAAUUUUGCAUUUUUGGUGUAUUCAUCUUUAGAAAAAGUAUUUUUUACCAUUUUAGAAGAAGGCAUGUUAUGAACUCCACUAUGUUUACACAUUCUGAUGUUAUUGUAUAUUAAAAAAAAAGCCACCUUCACUGACAACCUAUGAGGGGCUUCUAAAUGUACCAUGUAUACACACAUUAGGAUUGCUCCUGCACAUGGCUGAACCCUAAUAAUUAGCAGUGUAUUAUAUAAUGUAACACAAUUUUUUUUGCUCUGAACAUCUCGUGUAACUAUUUUUGCAACCCUUAGUAUGUAAAAUUGAAACAAGCAUUGAGUUGGUAAUUUAUUUCAUAUAGUGUACAUACUUUAAUUUACUCUAAAACAACAUAUCUGUUACAGGUGAAAAUCCUCUAGCUUAAUAUUAUAAUUAUGGGGGAGCGCUAAACCCAUAGGAUUAUACAGCACAUGUGGGGGGGGGGGUGGAGAUGGAAGGUAUUCAGGCUCAAUUCAGGGAACUGGAGCACAGAUCCAAUCCCCUAGAUCAAGAGCCCCUCACCAGCAUCAAGGAACCUCCCUUGAGGAGCUAGCCUAAUAAAGCAUACAAUUGCAUAAUAUACAUACAUUACACAAACUGUACAUCACCAUCACUUUGAUGCACUAAUUAGUUAUACGCAGCUACACUGACUAGCUUUUGUACAUUUCAUGAUCAUAACUAAAAUAAUUGUCAAAAUUUCAACAUUAUAAAAGCUUUUCAAGGAAAACAUAAAAUUAAAAAAGAACCUUACAUUUUAAUAAAUAAAAUGGAACUGUUAAUCUUUAAAGAUAAGAAGCAAAUAGAUUUUCUACAUUCAGUUUCUUGCACAAUUGAUCACACGGAGUUUCUAAACCACGUUUUCUUUUACACUUACAGUGGUCCCUCGAUAAUAGUCAGGCUCGAUAGUCGUCCUUUUCGUAAAUCGUCGCGUUAUUUUAGUCCAAACAUUGGCUCGCAAAUGGUCAGUUGACUCGCUAAUCAUCGUUCGUCCUGGAUGUGUACUCACGGCUCUGAGCCACCUCGGCCUCCCUUCCCAGCCAGUGUGCCAUUGUUUGCCAGUGAGCGACAGUCCCCUCACGUGUUCAUAUGAAAUAUUUCAUAAUAUUCCAUUCAUUUUAGUGCUUGCAAGUGCUAAAUAAGCUACCAUGGCUCCAAAGAAAGCUCCUUUGGUAAAGAAGGUGAGAAAUACAAUUGAAUUUAAGAAAAACAUCAUUGAACAAUAUGAAAGUGGCGUACAUGUGGCUGAACUGGCAAGGAUGUAUAACAAAGCCCAUACAACCAUAUCUUCCAUCGUGGCCAAGAAAAAGGAAAUCAAGGAAGCUGUUGUUGCAAAGGGGGUAAAUAUGCUGACAAAAACGAAAUCAACAGUACUCGAAGAAGUUGAGAAGUUAUUAUUGGUGUGGAUAAAUGAGAAACAAUUAGCAGGAGAUAGUCUUGUGAAAAGGCUAGGCAGUUGCAUGAUGAUCUGGUAAAGAAAUUGCCUGCAACGAGUACUGAUAUUGUGAAUUUAAGGCCAGCAAAGGUUGGUUUGAGAGAUUUAAGAAGCGUAGUGGCGUACACAGUGUGAUAAGGCAUGGUGAGGCUGCCAGUUCGGACAAAAUUGCAGCUACAAAAUUCGUAAGUGACAGAGUCUUGGCCCAUUUUAGGGAAGUUUUAAAGAGAUGCCAGAAACAGAGCUCUCUGGACACUUUUUUUUUGCAAGACAGGACUCCAGUGACUCUCAAGCUGAUCCUAGUGGCAUUAAGAAACAGAGAAGUAACCCCAGAAAAGGACUUGGUACCUAGGGUGUUGAUGGAAGGGGAUUCCCCUUCCAAACAGUAACUAAUCCAAUCUCUCUCCUCCUCCAGUCUUCCAUACACUAGGAAGAAUCGCCAAUAAAGGUAAGUGUUAUGCUGUUAAUGUUUCAUUCAUCAUGUCCCAUUGUAUUGUUUAUGUACUACAUCUAUAUUUCAUGUAAAAAUUUUUGUUUUAAUACUUCUGGGUGUCAGGAAUGGAUUAAUUGUAUUUACAUUAUUUCUUAUGGGGAAAAUUGAUUCGAAAAUCGUCUUUUUCAUUAAUUGUCACACUUCCAGGAACGGAUUAACGACGAUAAACGAGGGACCACUGUACAGUAUUUAAUUACAACUUAAUUUAAAACCUAUGCAUAUUGUACUGUAGAAUAAUAAUCAUGAAAAAGCACUAAACCCAACAGGGUCAUUUAGAGCUUCACAGCAAGGAGAAUGGGCCUUCCUUUUCCCAGGCAAUUUAUGAACCCCUAUGGGUUUUGUGCUUUCCCACAAAUAAAAUAACAAUGUGCCAAGAACUUCAGUAUCAACCCUUAAUCAGUGUUAAUUUAAAUUCUUUUUCAAAUGUUAAGUAAGUUAGCAGGUUGGUAGACAGUAACCAUCCAGGUACUACUCUCAUGCGAGUGUGAAUAAAGAUUUUUGCAUUCUGGCAGGAUUGCUGGUAUAUGUCUCAUGACUAUAAAAUAGCAGGCAAGUCUUACAUUCAGUACCGUAAACUUAAUUUUACUUUCCUGCAUAUUCCUUAACUUGUUCACUGUUCAAACGUAGAUCUGUUUGCUCGCCCAGCUCUUCGAAUAUUUAAAAAAAAAAUAAAAAAAUAAUAAAGAGGGCAAUUUUCUGUGUAAUAAGACCAACAAAAAUUUUUUUUAGGCGGUACUUACCGAUAUAAGACUGUGAAGUUGGCACUGGAUGCUCACCUGACGGCAGCAUGGAGUCCUGCCGCUUGCAGAAGUGUUGCAGAUAUACCUUUUUUUCUUGUUUUUAUAUUAUUUUAUAUAAUUUUUAUGUUCUGAUAAUUACAAUUUAUAGUAGUUCUUGUGAUUUCAUAGCCAAUCUUUGUUCUGACAUUAAUACAGUGGACCCCCGCAUAACGAUUACCUCCGAAUGUGACCAAUUAUGUAAGUGCAUUUGUACGUGUAUGUUUGGGGGUCUGAAAUGGACUAAUCUACUUCACAAUAUUUCUUAUGGGAACAAAUUCGGUCAGUACUGGCACCUGAACAUACUU